CAGCUAAGUGAAAGGAGGAAGAGAGGAAAAGACUGUUCCCUCCCCUGUGGGAAGCAGCACACCCAAGUUUUCACUUUAACCUGAUUAAGUGGGGCAAAUUACUUCUAUUUGGGGUGUGAUUCUUUCAGAACACACCUCUCACAGAGACUACACAGAUACGACAGUCAGACUUGGCAGUGUUUGGUCACCGUUUUUGAAGCCACCACAUUAAACAAAUGAAGGUGGCAGCAAUAAUAUUUGCCCAAACCUUGGUUCCAACAGGGUCAGACAGACUGAGCUUUCAUUACAUGAAAGGAAAAGGUAGGAACACCGAAUGGGCUCUAUUUUCCCUGGACUCCUAGACAAAGUGGAUCUGUCUCUAUCUAGGCUGUGGCCAGGAGGCCACUUUCUCCAGAUGUUAUAUUUAGCUAAAGGAAUCUCCAACGCGGCCUCAUGCAAAAUGUGAAGUAUGUCCCAGCAGGCGUAACCACAAACCAGAGGGCCAGCAGGGGCACCCCUGAAGGGAGUUAGGCAGCACAAAGGGGUUGACUGUGCAGCCACCCUGACAUCCCCAAAUGAGCUGAAUUAGCUGUGAGCCAGAUUUUUGGCCAGUUCUCACAUUUAAUGAGUCUUUGUUUCCCUCUUACUAGAGAUUCUGACCCUGGGGAGAAAAAUAUGCUGCCUAUUUCAAGCCAACUCCCAGCUGAUUGCUCAGCACCAGACCACUUGGAUCCAAGACACGGCUUUCCUGCUCACGCGCUAUCCAUCAGCUACAACCCACACCUGACUUAUCCUGGUCUUGCUGCUUGCAUGUAAACUAUGAAGACCUGACUUGGAUAAAUGAGAAGAUCCACUCGCCCACCAGUUCUCCACGGCUUCUGCAGACCCUAGACUUCUUCAUCCAUACCCCAGGCCUUGGCACUAGCAUUCUGCAAACUACAGGAAAGAAUAAACAAAAAAAGGCCA